ACGAAUUCGCGACGAACUGUAUUUUCAUCGCCGAAUCACAUUAUAUCAUCCGACCCCCCAAAAAACCUAGGUCAUCUUUCGAUCCUUUCUCUCUUUCGGCCCUCCGUCGAUCUCGCCGUCUCCAACACGCCGCCCUCGAGGUGCUCCUUCCCCUUCCCUCACUGCCCUCCGAUCUCCGCCGCCUCAUCGUCAACACCACCGGCCAGUCCAUCAUCGUAGGACAUCGAUUGCUGCCUUCAGCUCUCCAGCGCCCGCGACGAAGCUAGGAAGGAGAAGAAGGCGAAGGAGCCAAAGGAGAAAGGCGAGAGCAAGGUGACCAUCUCUAGGCUGCUCAACUUCAUCGACGGCCUCUGGUCGACGUACGGCAGUGAGUGACACAUCGUCUUCACCACCAACCGCGUGGAGAAGCUGGGCCCGGGGCUGAUAAGGAAGGGGAGGAUGGUCAUGCACGUCGAGCUGGGGCACUAUGAGGUUGAGGCCUUCAAGGUCUUAUCCAAGAACUACCUGGAAGUGGAGGCGCAUCCCCUGUUCGAGAAGGUGAGAGAGCUUCUGGCGGCAGUGAAGAUUUCGCCGGCCGACGUCGCAGAGUAGCUGAUGCCCAAGAACAUACGUGCCCACUACAAGGCCACCCGAUGCUUGCAAGACUUGAUCCGUGCUCUUUGGACCUUGAUGAACAGCAAGCAACUGAAGGAUGAACUCAUUUGAAUCUGGCUAUUGUUAUUGCUAUGAAUUAAUAUGAGUAUUUGCUACUUAAUUAGCUCUAGCUUUUCGCUAAUGAGUCCUUCAGAUGAUCCUACGAAGGAAAAAGUGCCUUUUUAUCUGAUUGAUUUGAUAAAGUGUGUGACUUUAGUGGCGAAUGAUAUGAUUUAGAGUCAGCUUCGUCCAAUGUCUAUGGUUUUAGGGCUUUUUAGCACUAUAAGAUGUGCAGUAACUGAAACAAGUGUUUACAGGUAUGUAUAUGUAUAUUUUUUUUAAUGUUUCCACUUGAAUUAUAUUUUUGAAUUUUAGCUUAUAAAUGAUGUUUUUUCAGCUAGAUUUUUUAUUCUUAUCAUAUGUUUAGGUAAGUACACAUGACAUAGAGAGUUCAUUUGUUGUUUCAUGCUGAUAGCUUAAAUUUAACAUUAUGAUGAUUAAGGCUGUUUUGAGUUUGUCAUGAAUUUUUAUGCACAUAAAGGCAAAUCUCAAUUCUGCAACACUAAACCUUUUUCAAGAUUUAGCUAUGCUAAUUUUAUCACUGAUGAGUUAGAAGCAAUUUAUUUGUGUUCUUUUUUACCUUCAACAAACUCUUCCUUUCAUGAUUGUACUUGUGAUUUAAAAUUGGACAAUCACUUAGCCUGUCUGGAACAAAAUUAUGAACUUGGAAUUCUGUCCACAUUCCACAACUAUUAUGGAUUGCUUCGUUUGGAAUAACCAAACUCUUGGAUAUUAUAAUUCUAUGUUUCAGAAGAAUUGGAACUUGAGAAUCUUAUUGACAACUUGUUGGUGAUCAAUUCUAGAGAUAAAAGAAUUCUAAGUCUAUAAUAGUUAUAAUCUUCAAGAAUUAACUUCUGAUCUUAUGUUUGAACUGAUGGGAAAUGGUAUUUCAUUUCUUAAUGUACUUUACUAACUUUUUCCUGUAUUAUGAGUACACAUGCUUCUUUAUUAAAUAUGGGUAAAAAAUAAUGAAGCAAAAGAGUGAGUGGAUUAGAUAUUAGAAUUCUACUUCCCAAUUUUUUAUUACUCCAAGCAAAAAAUACCAUUGGUACUAAGGAAUUGGACUCUGGGUUACAUGAUAUGUUUCUGUGACUGUAAUUCUUUUUUUAUUUUAUUUUUUUUGAAAUUGGUAAUGUGCAAAUACUCUGUGUUUGUAGCAAGGAACCUACGGAAAUAGUAGACUUGUACUGGGAUCAUCUUGGAUUCCAAUGGGUUCCCACUGAUUAUAUGUAUAAGAUGAAAUGUACCCAAAAUGGGAUAUUCACAGAAGGAGAAUUGAUACAUUAUGGGCAGGUUAACAUAGAGCUAAAAUUCAUGAUUUGUUGCAUUUAAACAUAUUUAAAUUUUAUAUGUAAUUAUGGGUGGGGCAUUGAGAUAUGCUAUUGCACCCGUUCUUCUAAA